AUUCAUUUCUUUAUUUUUUUAAAAAUGCAUCUUCUAUUGUGUAGGAAAAUAUUUAAUCUCUUACUGAUACCGACGACUCUUUGUAAACUAGUCCCCCUGCUCUUCAAACUUUUUUCCUUUCUCUCUCUAGAAUUUGGUCUUUGAAUGUGAAAAUAGUUGAGGACGAGUGGGGAGGAGGUCCCUAUUUAUAAAGGAAGAGAAACAUUGGAUUAACGACAAGUUUUGCGAAUAUGUGAGGAGAGAUAAAAUGAUGACAUCAUUACUGCCAAAUUGGUCAGGGGCAUAGUUCUUAAGGCGACAACAAUGCGAGGCUCGAGGCAGCGGCGGUAGG
rnacentral:lncRNA from 1 species